CGCAGGGUAGAGCAGAUGGCAGCUCGUCGGGCUCAUAACCCGGAGGUCACAGGUUCGAGUCCUGUCCCUGCUA
rnacentral:tRNA from 1 species